ACAAGUAGUCAGAGCCCGUUAAUGGGUGAUGGCGUGCCUUUUGUAGAAUGAACCGGCGAGUUACGAUUUGAUGCAAGGUUAAGCAGUAAAUGUGGAGCCGUAGCGAAAGCGAGUCUGAAUAGGGCGUUUAGUAUUUGGUCGUAGACCCGAAACCAGGUGAUCUACCCUUGGUCAGGUUGAAGUUCAGGUAACACUGAAUGGAGGACCGAACCGACUUACGUUGAAAAGUGAGCGGAUGAACUGAGGGUAGCGGAGAAAUUCCAAUCGAACCUGGAGAUAGCUGGUUCUCUCCGAAAUAGCUUUAGGGCUAGCCUCAAGUGAUGAUUAUUGGAGGUAGAGCACUGUUUGGACGAGGGGCCCCUCUCGGGUUACCGAAUUCAGACAAACUCCGAAUGCCAAUUAAUUUAACUUGGGAGUCAGAACAUGGGUGAUAAGGUCCGUGUUCGAAAGGGAAACAGCCCAGACCACCAGCUAAGGUCCCAAAAUAUAUGUUAAGUGGAAAAGGAUGUGGCGUUGCCCAGACAACUAGGAUGUUGGCUUAGAAGCAGCCAUCAUUUAAAGAGUGCGUAAUAGCUCACUAGUCGAGUGACACUGCGCCGAAAAUGUACCGGGGCUAAACAUAUUACCGAAGCUGUGGAUUGUCCUUUGGACAAUGGUAGGAGAGCGUUCUAAGGGCGUUGAAGCAUGAUCGUAAGGACAUGUGGAGCGCUUAGAAGUGAGAAUGCCGGUGUGAGUAGCGAAAGACGGGUGAGAAUCCCGUCCACCGAUUGACUAAGGUUUCCAGAGGAAGGCUCGUCCGCUCUGGGUUAGUCGGGUCCUAAGCUGAGGCCGACAGGCGUAGGCGAUGGAUAACAGGUUGAUAUUCCUGUACCACCUAUAAUCGUUUUA
rnacentral:rRNA from 1 species